GCAAUACGCAAAAGAUAGGACUUUCGAAGGAAGCCAGAAGCUGGUCUCCUGCAGGCACACGAAGCCAUCAAAGUCAAAGUGGCCCAAGAACUUGCCAGUCAAGAUGAAAAACUUCUUCUAAUGGAAUCCAGCUUGAAAGCUAGUCAAGAGCAGCUAACUGAGCAAAUAGCAGAAACAUUUCGCCAAGGAGAGAACAGUAGAAAACCCCAGGCAGAGCUGAAGACAGUGACAGAAAGGAUUAUUGCUUCUGAAGAAGAAAAAAAUGAUUACAAUUAUGUUUAAUUUAGGUUUUAUGAGUCCUCGGAGGAUAAGGGAGGAAGACUGCUGUGGUUGUGUGAUGGCCUGGACGUGGGGAAUCACUUGCUAUGGAAAACUGGACAAAUGCUUGCGCUGCCCCUGGGACGAGGAUGUAAAUGAAGAGCUGGUUCCCUUCUGCUGAGACGCCAAGGUCUCCAUAUUCCUUCGAAGCCAGCGGCCGUGGAGGGACCACGAAUCGCUGGAGUUGAGCUCUACUUUCUCCCCUGUAUCGCUCAUCUGCUGCCUUUGGAAUCCACUGGAGCUGCGUACUUGGAAGCAGCACAAAAGGUAAGGCGGGAACUAAAAAUAUGGCCUAGGAUUGUGACGCUCAAGCGAUUCAGGCUCAUUCGCCCAAUCGCUGCAGAAGUGAAAUACGCUGGACUUAACACUGAUGCAUUCUAGUGCACGGCGGUCUAAUUCGUUUCACAGAAGUAAUCCUGCCCGGCACUACCAUUACGCUUUUAAACAGAGCUUGCACUUUGCUUCUGUUUGAAGGAAUUCGUCA